rnacentral:rRNA from 1 species
AUUGAACGCUGGCGGCAUGCCUUACACAUGCAAGUCGAACGGUAACAGGUCUUCGGAUGCUGACGAGUGGCGAACGGGUGAGUAAUACAUCGGAACGUGCCUAGUAGUGGGGGAUAACUACUCGAAAGAGUGGCUAAUACCGCAUGAGAUCUACGGAUGAAAGCAGGGGACCGCAAGACCUUGUGCUACUAGAGCGGCCGAUGGCAGAUUAGGUAGUUGGUGGGAUAAGAGCUUACCAAGCCGACGAUCUGUAGCUGGUCUGAGAGGACGAUCAGCCACACUGGGACUGAGAAACGGCCCAGACUCCUACGGGAGGCAGCAGUGGGGAAUUUUGGACAAUGGGCGCAAGCCUGAUCCAGCAAUGCCGCGUGCAGGAUGAAGGCCUUCGGGUUGUAAACUGCUUUUGUACGGAACGAAAAGCCCCGGGUUAAUACCCUGGGGUCAUGACGGUACCGUAAGAGUAAGCACCGGCUAACUACGUGCCAGCCGCCGCCGUAA